rnacentral:rRNA from 1 species
AUGUUAUGGCGAGAGGGCGUGCUGAUGCUUCAACGGUGGCGGCGAGGGUCUCCGCUCGACAACGCGCCCCUCCUCCCCAAGAGCUCGUGGCGACAGAGCCGGCCACGAAGGGAAGGGGGAGGGGGCAAGGCCGAGGUUGCCGUGGCGCUCGGGGAAGAGGAGGACGGGGCGGCGCAUCGGCUUCGCCUUCGCCAGCAGUCACUUCCCCAAUGGAGGGCCACGUCGGGGACCAGCCUCGCGAAUUCUUCAUCAGGCUGCGCCGCGGUGCGUCAUCGUCUUCGUCUCCCUACUCCAUUUGCUCGGGAGAUGGAGCUCGAUCCGCCACAGGCUCUGAGACUGCAUAUGAGGGGCUACGGGAAUAGCGGCACAUGGGCCGACGUUGACUUCCCAACCCCUCAUGUCAUGCAUCUUCGUCGCGGAUGGAAGACUUCCGCUCGCAUCCACAGUCUGACGGCGGGGCUCGUUCUCUAUUUCAAACUAAUGGAAAACAGCCUCCUCUCCGUCAAGGUCUUUAGAGACUUCAGGACUCGCCUAAAGUGCUGCGUGGAGAGCUCCUCUGAUGACGAAGACUCUUCCUCGAGCGAGAGUGACGAGGAGGACAGCGGCAGCGACGACGAGGGUAGCAGGCGGGAGGAUGACGGGUCUGACUAG